UCUCAAUCUCCUGACCUCGUGAUCCGCCCGCCUCGGCCUCCCAAAGUGCUGGGAUUACAGGCUUGAGCCACCGCGCCCGGCCAACACAGCAGCCUCUUAAGGGGCACGCGGUAUUGGCCUCCUCCAGAGCCUCGGUCCCAGCAACAGCCCCCUGCUCUUCCCCCACCCUAGCAGGUGUGCACUGGGCUCUGAUGGGCUCAGCUUGUGGUUCUGUCAACCGUGGGUGACCCUCCAUGUGAAAUAAACAAUGAAGAAAACAAUGCACAGAAUGAACUUAGCCUAAUGUGGUGUAGUUGGGGCGGGGGUGUGUGUGACCUGGCGCAGUCCCCCACUGCAAGAGGAGCAUUUCCUGCCCUAAUCCCACUGAGGCCUCAGUGUGCCUGUCUGUUCCGUGGGAACCCUCUGAGUGACCCUCUCCUACCUCACCAGAACCCGGGACUCUCCAGGUUCCUCUCAGAGGGGGAAGGGCCCCCACCCUUAUCCUACACAUUGUGUCUGACUCCCCUGGUCAGAUGGAAGGAGAAAAUCUAGCAGUCAGAAAUUCCACUGUUAGGCCAAGAUUACAUUAUUUUAUUUAAAAAAUAAGCUGGGUGACUAACCCAGGGACACUGUGCUCUGCUAAAUGAUGACUCCAGCUACAUUUCCCGAGGCCAAGAGAUGAGAAGCUGCUGGCUCCAGGCUCCGCUGCAGGCUGCCCUGGCCGAGUGGGUGCUGGGCACCACAGAGGGCUGCCUGGUGUUGCCAAGCCAUGCCCCGGUGCCUCCCUAAGAGUUCUGCUGUGGAGUCUGCAUGGAGGGUGACUCUGGAGAGAUGUUCGUGUCCAGGUGGCUGCCUGUGGUCUGGCUAAGGGGUGUGGUCUGACCAUCCUGGCCGGCCUUCAGCAAGAAUCCUGUUAGGAACUUCCUGCUCCAUACCUGUGCACAUCCUGUCCUGAGGCCAGCUUCCCCUGCUCAGCCUCAGGUUGCAGCCACCCACCCUCCCAGGAGGGCCUUCCCUGCUCCUGUGGCUUCCUGCUGGCACUCACUGCACUGGGUAGUUCUUCCUGGUGUGUGGGGCCCUAGUCUCUGUCUCCUGUUGGAUUUGACUUCUACCAGAGCAGGGACCUCCCUGAGUCUUCACGGCCCAGAAAAGUGCCCAGCAUGCUACCGCACAUCAUAAAUACCUGUUCACUAUCACUGAGUGAAGACAUCUUAUUAAAGAUGACAUUAAAGAACAGGGCAUAGGGCUUGGCAUUCAGUAGGCACACAGUACAUAAUGGCUUUGUUAUUCCAGUCUGGGGUUGUGUUCGUGCCUCACUUUCCCACCUGGCCUGACAGGAGGGGCUCAGGGGCUGGGCUGGCUGUGUCUCUGGGCCCCUUGCCUGGAAAUGCCUGAGGAGGGGCAGGGUUCUCAUCCCAGCUCCAUCCCAGGGGUUCCCAACCCUCUGACCUUGAGGAGCGGUGGGAAGCGAAGGCUGCAGCCACCCUGCAGCACUGCAAACACAGGCUGGGGCAGGAU